UCAUAGAAUCAAGCUUGGCUUGUCGUUGGGCCCUGUGUCACCUGGUGACAGGCCUCAAAGAUAAUGACCGGUGUCAUGAAGACUCUGUAUGCAACGAGCUUGUAACAGCACGCAUCUGGUAGUCAAAUGGCCCGGUUCUCCCUCCUAUUUCUCAA
rnacentral:misc_RNA from 1 species